UAGGCAGCAUACCAUACUCCACAGUACAUCCUGCAACCAUUUUGAGUAUAAUUACUCUUCCAGUCAGCAGCCAAAUGUGCCGUCAACUGUGCAGGUGAAACAGCAUGCAGCAGAGAGCCCAUACCACGAAGAUGCUCCUCUGCCUCCCACUGCUGCUGCACCAUCCAUCUCUGGGUAUGGAGUCCCUCUUCAUGUCUACAUUAGGGCUAUUGAAAGAGGCUGCCAGACAGAUCAAGGACUCGGAGAGCCUGCCAUUUGAAGUCUCUUCAGUAUGAAGAUGUACUGUCAGGGAUCAGUAUGGAGGAGUCUUUUGUUCUGCUGCUGGAAUAAGUGUUUGUAGAUGAAAGGAGAAUGCCUGUGCCUGGGCCAUCAACCUGACACUUUUCAAGACAUGAAAUUCACUUAGAACUAAGUAUGGGAUGGUGGACUGAAAAAUAAUAUGUAUUUAUUUUUUCUUUGCUUACUAUCUUGAGAAGCAUCCCAAUCGCUUUGUAAAAGAAUACUGAUGCAUAAUUAACCUACUGGAAUGAAGAAUUUAUAGCAUAAAGAGCAAACAUUUAAAAUUGCACAAGCAUAGUAGCUAAAUGAAAAGUUCUGAGACUACAUUAUAGUCACUGAGGAUGUUUCCAUUACCUUGUGUUUUGACCAAGUUCUUAAAACUUCUGGAGGACAGAUAUUUAUACCUAUCACUGAGAUCCAUGUCACAGAAUCAUCACCCUGGAACACUAUUCUAAACAUGAACAUAGGCAUGAUUUUGUCUCUUAUUCCUUGAACAAGCCCUCCAGAUCCCAGAUGAAAUACACUGGGUAAGACAGCAGAAAGGGGAAGGUUUUUAAAGCCACAGCAAUAAGUUUGGUUUUUUAAUGUCUUUGACACCUUUUACUUAUGAAAUAGAAAAUUCUUUUUAAAUGAACUUUGUUUUGUGACACUGAAAAAUGAAGAGUACUAAAAGAGGAGAAUGGAUGGCUCACUGUAAUCCUUCCAUUUAUGUUGUUGGAUUUUCAGCACUCCUGGCCUUCUCACUUUACCCACCACCCAGAGCCCACAUAUACUCCUGCCAAGGACUGAGUUACUUUAUGCGGUAUCAUCUGUCUGAAGAUCUCCGAGAACCUAAUGAAAUUCACUAUCUGAUUAUUUACUGUAAAAACCAAGAACAUUUUUCUCACCAUUGCAAUUCAGCCUUCUCUGAGAUGAAACACUGCUUUAGGCAGAAAGCAUGUAUUACUUGAGAGGUCUAAGCAUGAAGUACUGAAUAUCACGUUCUUAAUAAAGUUAAGAGGGAUUUUUAGACAAAAUUAAUUACUCAUUGAGGAUGUUAUCUGGUUAAGAGAAAUCUACAAAGAAAGCGAUACAGGAUUUUAACUGACACAGUUAGUUAAGUGCCUGUUCUUCUGAG